rnacentral:pre_miRNA from 1 species
GGGAGGCCGGAUCCUGGACGGUGUCCCGGCGCCCUGUGCUGCGGGGCCUGCGCUGCUGGAUUUGCGCUCCCGCCCCGCAGCCC